rnacentral:rRNA from 1 species
UACAGAGGUCCCAAGCGUUGUUCGGAUUCACUGGGCGUAAAGGGUGCGUAGGCGGUCGGGUAAGUCUGACGUGAAAUCUUCAAGCUCAACUUGGAAACUGCGUCCGAUACUAUUCGGCUAGAGGAAUGGAGGGGAGACUGGAAUACUUGGUGUAGCAGUGAAAUGCGUAGAUAUCAAGUGGAACACCAGUGGCGAAGGCGGGUCUCUGGACAUUUCCUGACGCUGAGGCACGAAAGCCAGGGGAGCAAACGGG